AACGUAGGAGACAAACGUUAUCCGGAGUUACUGGGCGUAAAGGGCGUGUAGGUGGUUUUGUAAGUCUGGCGUGAAAUUUUUCGGCUUAACCGGGAAAGGUCGUCGGAUACUGCAGGACUGGAGGACGGUAGAGGCGAGUGGAAUUCCUGGUGUAGCGGUGAAAUGCGCAGAUAUCAGGAGGAACACCAAUUGCGAAGGCAGCUCGCUGGGACGUUACUGACGCUGAGACGCGAAAGCGUGGGGAGCAAACAGG
rnacentral:rRNA from 1 species